rnacentral:rRNA from 1 species
UGGUGCAUGGCCGUCGUCAGUUCGUACUGUGAAGCAUCCUGUUAAGUCAGGCAACGAGCGAGACCCACGCCCACAGUUGCCAGCGUACUCUCUGGAGUGACGGGUACACUGUGGGGACCGCCGCUGCUAAAGCGGAGGAAGGAAUGGGCAACGGUAGGUCAGUAUGCCCCGAAUAUCCCGGGCUACACGCGAGCUACAAUGGUUGGUACAAUGGGUAUCUACCCCGAAAGGGGACGGGAAUCUCCUAAAACCAAUCUUAGUUCGGAUUGAGGGCUGCAACUCGCCCUCAUGAAGCUGGAAUCCGUAGUAAUCGCGUUUCAACAGAACGCGGUGAAUACGUCCCUGCUCCUU